ACCCUGAUCAGCCAUGCCGCGUGAGUGAAGAAGGCCUUCGGGUUGUAAAGCUCUUUAGUCGGACGAAAAGGUUACGGUUAAUACCUGUGACAUGAGGAAAGGGAAGAAGAAGAAGGGUAAAAGGCGCCGCAGCCGCGGAAAUAAC
rnacentral:rRNA from 1 species